UCCAUGAGCAUGGGAGAUCUUUCCAUCUUCUGAGAUCUUUGAUUUCUUUCUUCAGAGGCUUGAAGUUCUUGUCAUACAGAUCUUUCACUUGCUUGGUUAGAGUCACACUGAGGUAUUUUAUAUUAUAUUAUUUUAUAUUAUUUGUGAUUAUUCUGAAGGGUGUGAUUUCCCUAAUUUCUUUCUCAGCCUGAUUAUCCUUUGAGAAGUGGAAGGCUACUGAUUUCUUUGAGUUAAUUUUAUAUCCAGCCACUUUGCUGAAGUUGUUUAUCAUGCUUAGUAGUUCUCUAGUGGAACUUUUGGGGAACUCUUUGGGGGAACACUUAAGUAUACUAUCAUAUCAUCUGCAAAUAGUGAUAUUUUGACUUCUUCCUUUCCAAGACCUCCUUUUAUUGCCUAAUUGUUCUGGCAAGGAUUCAAGUACUAUAUUGAAUAAGUAAGGAAAGAAUAGGCAGCCUUGUCUAGUCCCUGAUUUUAGUGGGAUUGCUUCAAGUUUCUCUCCAGUUAGUUUGAUGUUGGCUACUGGUUUGCUGUAAAUUGCUUUUACUAUGUUUACGUAUGGGCUCCACUAUGUUCAUAGCAGCCUUAUUUAUAAUAACCCAAAGCUGAAAAGAACCCAGAUGUCCUUCAACAGAGGAAUGGAUACAGAAAAUGUGGUACAUUCACACAACAAGAGUACUACUCAGCUAUUAAAAACAAUGACUUCAUGAAAUUCUUAGGCAAUGGAUGCAACUAGAAAAUAUCAUCGUGAGUGAAAAAAGAACACAUAUGAUAUGCACUCACUGAUAAGUGGAUAUUAACCUAAAAGUUCAGAAUACCCAAGAUACAAUUCAAAAACCACAUGGAUUUCAAGAAGGAGGAAGAACAAUGUGUGGGUUCUUAAGUUCUUCUUAGAAGGGAGAACAAAAAUACUCACAGGAGGAAAUAUGGAGACAAUGUAUGGAGCAGAGACUGAAGGAAAGGCCAUGCAGAAACUGUUCCACCUGGGGAUCCAUCCCAUGUGCAGCCACCAAAGCCAGACUAUAUUGUGUCGGAGAGGCUCCGCCAGAGUCUGACAAAUACAGAGGCAGAUAUUUACAGCUAACCAUUGAAUUAAGAAUGGGAUCCACAAUGUAGGAGAAGGACUGAAGGAGCUGAAGGGGUUUGCAACUCCAUAAGAAGAACAACAAUAUCAAUGAACCAGACCUCCCAGGCACUAAACCACCAUCUUAAGAGUACACAGGGAUAGACCUAUGGCUUCAGUCAAUAUGUAGCAGAGGAUGGCCUUGUCAAUGGGAAGAGAGGCCCUUGGUCCUGUCAUGGCUUGAUGCCCCAGUGGAGGGGAAUAUCAGGGCAGGGUAUUGGGAGGGACUGGAUGGGUGAGGGAGCACCCUUAUAGAGGCAGGGGACGAUAGCAGGUUUCUUGAGUGGAAACUGGGACAGGGGAUAACAUUUGAAAUUUAAAUUAAAAAAUACAAUAAAAAUAAAAGAUAAAAAUAUUUUAAUUACAUU
rnacentral:lncRNA from 1 species